AUGAAAGUUCAUUCAGACGCUGGUUCGCAGACACAAAGUUGCUCCAGCAGUGACGAGGAGGGAUCAAACAGCCUCUGCGAUAACCAGUUUAUCGUUGUCAAGCUUGAAGAUGAAGAUCCAGAAACCGAGAUGGACCUGAGUAUAUUCGCUCCUGUCGAGUCCUCGGAGUGUGAAGAUGAGGAUGAGGAUGAGCUUUCAGACUCAUCCGGCGUGUCUAGCUGGAGAAAGAAGAGCACCAGAGAGCGAGCCUCAGAUAACCAGGAGGAUUCGGCAGCCCUUGAGAAAGUGUCUUCCAGCAGGAGUUUAAAAGGACAGCGAAAGAGCCGACGGACCUCUCUGGCUGAGCAGAGACACAAGCAGAGUCUGGACUGUAGUGCAGCAAACAGGGACAUGAAUGUAGGACUCCUGUCUGAGGAUCACACAUUUCACCGAGCUGUGCCUCCGUCUGAUUCAGCCAGAGGUCCUGCAGAGAUGUCUGGACUCGACACUGGACUCAGCCCUUUAGCUGCCAUGGAGCCUCCUGUAUUUCCAAAUGCACCAGUACAGAGCAAAUCUGUUGUUGGGGAGGAUCAGCAGAAUAUACUACUUGAGGUCCUGAACCAUUGUAGGUCAUCAUAUGAAAGGAGCUCAGCGAAGCUGAAGAAUGGUUCAAAGCACAAAAGAAAAAUGGAUUCUGCAUUAAAUGAACAAGUUAAUUUUGACAGCCCUAGUGAUAAAGUAUCCCACAUCUCUAAGAGAGGGGCAUCUCUGCCGGCUGAAGAAGGGCAGCUGUCCUGGUCUUUGGCCCAGCGACUCGAUCCACCAGUCCAGAGAAACCCACGCUGGAUCCCUCCCUGGAAACGAGGGCUGGACAGAGCAGACCUUCAGCAGGCUGUCAACAGCAGCCUUCAGUCGGACAAACCUCCUGGCAGUAGACGAGGGAGAGGCAGGGGCAGAGGACGCGGUUGCAGCAGCAGAUCCCAGCGUCACUCUCAAACUCCUGAUCCUGCAUCACUCAUGUCAAAGCCCAGUGGAGAUGAGAUCGUCACUGCAUCAACAGAUGAUCCACAGUUGUGCCAAAUAAUGAAGAACGGCUCUCAGGCUAACACUGGCUCAAAGCGUCAGCAGAAAAGAAAGAAAACCUUGGCUCAGGUGGACAAGGAGAAAAUUGAACUGGAGAAGAUGCCCAACAAUAAAGAGGCCACACUUGAACUUCAGGGUGACAACAAAGUAAUGAUCGGAAGCCCUUUGCGGAAAGUGUGGAUCCCGCUGUCUGUGUACAAGGAGGUGUUUAAGCAGGUGGAUCCCCAGAAGGCUGUAGUGCCUGUGCUUCACGCUCUUUUCCCCAUCAGCACUCUGUCCUGCAGUGCAGUCACAGGAAACCCUGCAAAAGGCAUCCAGCAACUCAACCCCAACAAAAUAGAAGCCCUUCGAGAGUUUCUUGCUGAGAUGUUCCCACAGUUUGAUGUCGGCGUGAGGGGUGUGUCGUGGGCACAGUGUCUUGGAGUGAUAAAUAACAUCACCAAAGACCUCAACAAAAAAGCUGAAAAAAACAUCACAUCUGCCAACAGAGGUUUGUGA
ensembl:lncRNA